AUGGAGGCGGCGGGCGGGCGGGCGCUGCUGGCCGCCGUGGGGCUGCUGUCGGCGCUCAGCGCCGCGGGCACGCUGUUCCUGCUGGCGCAGUGGCGGGAGCUGGGCGCGGCGCUGCGGGAGCUGGAGGCGGCGGGGAACGGCUCGGUGCGGGGGCUGCCCGCCGCGCCCGCGCCCGCCGCCCGCACCAAGCGCAGCCGCCGCGGGGAGCGCGCCCGCGGACACGUGCGCGCCGAGAGCGACGAGAUGCUGAUGAUGCUCACCUACUCCAUGGUGCCGGUCCGAGUGAUGGUGGAUUUGUGUAACAGCACAAAAGGGAUAUGUUUAACAGGCCCCCCAGGACCCCCAGGGCCUCCUGGGCUGCCUGGCUACAAUGGAUCAGAUGGAAUCCCAGGAACUCCAGGACAAAAGGGAGAACCAGGAGUAAAUGGAAAAAGAGGAAAAAUAGGUUUGCCAGGACCAAAAGGUGAUCAAGGACAGAAAGGAGAACCAGGAGAAAUGGGUUUACCUGGCAAGGAUGGUAUCCCAGGAGGAAAAGGUACAAGAGGAUCCAAGAGAAAAAAGGGGGAUGGAAACAAUGAUGUGAUAUUAGAAGGUGCAAAAGGUGAGCCUGGACCACCUGGGCCCCCUGGACCUCCUGGACCCCCAGGGCCCCCACAUAAACGUAAAGGUAAAGCCAAAGUGGAACUUGAGGAGAACAUCUACAGCAGCAAAUGCACAGAUGAGGUAUGUGAUGUACCAAAUGAUGACACCCUUGCUGGAAAGGCUGAAGACAGAACCCCAGGUCCUUCAAGAAAAGCUGAAUGUGUCAUAACGUCUGUAGGAAGUCCCAUUCGCUUUGUCAGUGUACAGCAAACGUUUGGAACUUGGAUGAGGGAACCUGCAAACAUAAGUGAUGAAAGGAUUUGGCUCACCAUGCAUUUUUCAGGAAACUAUAUAAAAGAAUAUGAAAAUUCCAAUGCCUUGCUGAAUAACAGCUACAGGAUCAUUAACAUCACAGGACUUUUCUAUGGAUGUGGUCAUGCAGUACAAAACAAUCAUCUCUACUAUCAUGAGGGAGGAACCAAUUCCAUUCGGAAAUUUGGACUCGAUAAAGACUCGCUGCACACCCUGCACAUCAAAAAAGCCUUACACCAGGGCAGGAACUACCUCUUCUCGAACUCCAAGACAUAUUUCAACAUAGCAGUGGAUGAGAAGGGUCUUUGGAUUAUAUAUGCCUCAAGCACUGAUGAAAAUAUAAUGGUAGCAAACGUUGAUGAAGAAAGGUUCUCAGUCAAUUGGCACAUCAAUACCACCUAUCCUAAGUCCAAGGCUGGUAACGCAUUCAUAGCAUGUGGCAUUCUGUAUGUUACUGACACUAAGGACAUGACAGUAAGUUUUGCUUUUGAUUUACUGAAAGGGAAGCAGAUUGAUGCAAGGUUUAAGUUACGGUCUUCACAGUCUGUUCUUGCUAUGCUUUCGUACAGUCUGCGAGACAAAAAUUUGUACACGUGGGAGAAUGGAAGCUUAAUGGUAUACCCAGUCCAUUUUGGCAGAUGAAUAUAUUUUCACAUGCCACCUUUGACUAAAGGAUCUAUUUACAGCUCUGUGACAUACACAUGGGGGUCUCUGCACUUGGUAUAAUUUUCUGUUUGCUGAUGGUGGUUUGUCAGUGUGUAUGAAAGGGAGAUCAGGUGCCUUUCUAUAAACACACUUCAAUUACAUAGGCCAUCCUAAUCUUUUUUUAAAAAUUGUUGUUCACUAUUGCAGAUGGCAUACUGCAUAGACAUAGUUUUGUUUUUCCCGUUACCCAGCUGACAAUUGUGUCUAAUGUACAUUGAUUAUUCCAUGGUCAUGUGCUCAGAAGAGACUAUUUGUAACUUUUAUUUACAAUCAUCUUCUCUGCAAUCAUUUUCUAGUCAGUGAUGAUGGUCUAAUAUAAACAUCUAAAUAAUGAACUUUUGUGUACAAAUACCUUUGUCACUUUCAUUUAAUUUCCAUUGACCAUUUUUUCUGGACAAAGGUUUAAAGCUGUUAAAAUAAUGGUAAUGGAAAUACUUGUUUAAAUAGGAAAAAAAGCAGAAAGCUUAAAAUUUGACAAGUCAAAUCAAGUGCUAUAAUCAAAAGCAAAAUCCAGCUAAAGAAAAAUGGGAGUAAUGACAUUAAAUACUGAAUAGACAUGAAUUGUGUUUCUUUAAAAUUAAAGACAUAACCUUUAUGAUUAAAAUUUCAUUUUUAACAG